rnacentral:tRNA from 1 species
UGGUCUAUAGCUCAACGGUAGAGCAGCCGGCUUUUAACCGGCGGAUCAGGGUUCGAUUCCCUGUGGGCCAA